rnacentral:sRNA from 1 species
GUGUUGAGUCCACGAGCACGGCGGAAUGCAUUCAAGGCGCAAAUGUUGCGGUACAUGUAGAAGAGAUAAUAGUUGUAUGGUGGAUUCUCCAAGUCAGUGUACUCUGGUGGGCAAGG